GUAGUCAUAUGCUUGUCUCAAAGAUUAAGCCAUGCAUGUCUAAGUAUAAACAACUUUAUACUGCAAAACUGCGAACGGCUCAUUAUAUCAGCAAUAAUUUAUUUGAGGGUUUCUUACUACAUGGAUAACUGUAGUAAUUCUAGAGCUAAUACAUGCGUAAAGUUCCGACUCUCACGGGAAGGGAUGUAUUUAUUAGAUAAAAAACCAAUGCGGGUUCUGCUCGCUUUUGUGUUGAAUCAUAGCAACUUAUCGGACGCCAUAGCCUUGUGCUGGGCGUAGAUCAUUCAAAUUUCUGCCCUAUCAGCUUUCGACGGUAGUGUAGUGGACUACCGUGGCGUCAACGGGUAACGGGGAAU
rnacentral:rRNA from 1 species